AAUAUAUAUGUAAGACUCAGAUCGACGUCCGGUCUCUAAUCGACGUCUGUUCCUCAAAUCGACGUCCAAAUCUGACGUCACAAUAAAAUAACCUUCCAAAUCGACGGCGCCUAUUUAAUCGACGUCCAUUUUUUGGUUUCUCUAAUCGACUUCCAAAUUUUAGCUUCUUUAAUCAACAUCCGUUUUGAACACAGUACAAAAUUGACCAGAACCCACAGCAGCUGAAACCUUUAGAGCCUUAAACAUAUGUGUGACAAAUAGAAUCUAUUUUAAAAAAUGUUGGGUUUUUUAAAGAUUUAUUACAUACUAGACUAAAUAAUGCAAACAGGUUGUGUUAUAAUUUUUUUUAUUUUAGAGAUUACAUAAAAAUAAAGAGAUGUGGUAUGACAUGAAUAAUAUAAACAAUUUAAAUAAGAAAAUUAACGGUCUUAUUUAUAAAAAAAAUAUCUGGAAAACAAAUAUGAUAGACACAAACCAUCGAAAACCACUGCAUUACAGGCUCAUAAAGAUUAUGUUAGGGUUAAACAUGUUUGUGAGCACU
rnacentral:lncRNA from 1 species